rnacentral:rRNA from 1 species
AUACCUUAGUACGGCGAGUGAAGCGGUAAAAGCUCAAAUUUGAAAUCUGGUACUUUCAGUGCCCGAGUUGUAAUUUGUAGAAUUUGUCUUUGAUUAGGUCCUUGUCUAUGUUCCUUGGAACAGGACGUCAUAGAGGGUGAGAAUCCCGUUUGGCGAGGAUACCUUUUCUCUGUAAGACUUUUUCGAAGAGUCGAGUUGUUUGGGAAUGCAGCUCAAAGUGGGUGGUAAAUUCCAUCUAAAGCUAAAUAUUGGCGAGAGACCGAUAGCGAACAAGUACAGUGAUGGAAAGAUGAAAAGAACUUUGAAAAGAGAGUGAAAAAGUACGUGAAAUUGUUGAAAGGGAAGGGCAUUUGAUCAGACAUGGUGUUUUUUGCAUGCACUCGCCUCUCGUGGGCUUGGGCCUCUCAAAAAUUUCACUGGGCCAACAUCAAUUCUGGCAGCAGGAUAAAUCAUUAAGAAUGUAGCUACUCUGUAAGGGUA